CUGAGAAUGACAUUUUGCUGCAUUUUUUUUUGUUUGUUUGUUCAUUUAGCAUUGAGAAAUCAAAACAAAUAUUCAUGGAUAGCCAACUGUAGCAAGAUUCAAAUAUAAAAUCGAAAAAAUACAUGUUCUACCUGACAGGAACGGAGUUGACAGAUUUUAAUCGUAAAAACAAAAAACGAAAAAAAGGAGAGCCAGAACCGGAUGCCAUUUGAAAGAAGGAAAUAUUUAGAUUUAUUUAUUUCUUUUUUAAUAAACCAAUCAGCAAAAA